GGUAUAGUAGUUACGGUGGUUACGAUGCUCGGCUGCUGACCGGAAAGACGCGGUGCGAUCUCGACCGCGGCGGUCGCAUUUUCGAUGGAGGCGAAAAUGCUAGAGGCCCGUCUACUGCGCGGAUUCAGUGCAAGUAAUAGAACCCCAGGUAGUCGAAAUUACCGGAGCCCUCCACUACGGCGUGCCUCUUAAUUAUAUCGUUGUUUUGGCACGUAAAACCCCAGCAAUUACUAUUAUUAUUAUAGCGAUAAAAGUUCAUAAAUUUCAGCAGUGAGUUCUAUUUUUAGACUUCUCUAUACCUGCACGCGUUGUUAUCUUCGCUUUACAACAUGUUCAGAAAGUCAUUUCCAACUCUGCUACAGGACCAUUUCACGGAAGACCAGUUUGAACCGAUUAUUCUCAAGAAUACCGGUGAAAAAAAAGCUAAGGCCAUUUGCGACGCCAAGCAUCUUUUUGCAUCGACCAGUUGCAAAGCCACGCAAGCCACCCCCUAAAAGAACAAGAGUGGACAGUACUGAUGGCCCCAAAGUCAAGAAAAACACACAGGUCGAUGUCGAACCCCAGCCAGUGGACCCCGAGAAUUAUGUUCCUGAUAUGCAACCAGACACGCAGAUUCCUGUCCCAUUCCAGCCAGUAAAUACAGAGGCUGGUG